CCGGGUCGAAUCGCAGACACCCGGUCCGAAAAGACGAUUCCGUCUCAAGCGCUGC
rfam:Betaproteobacteria bacterium RIFCSPLOWO2_02_FTLL_67_26 rifcsplowo2_02_scaffold_2044, whole genome shotgun sequence.